AGGAGUAGCUGGAAAUCAAACAAACACAGGACUCAAUGAAUAGGUUAGGGAUUCGGCUCUACUGUCUAUUAACUUGGUGGUCCAGGGUCAGUCACUUCAGCUCUCUGCUCUUGAGCAUCUGCAGCUAGUAAGUAUGCUGCAGUCGUUAAGAGAUGUUAUUUAUGGGCCUACUGUGUGCUGGGGCCUAUUCUAUGAUGUAAUACAGUCUCUUCAACCCUUGUUAUUUCCUUACAGCUCCCCCUGCUCCCCUAAGGAAGCUUUUAGAUGUUCUCAUUCCCGUUGAGAUCUCUACAUUUUAAUUCCAUGCCACUAUUUGCUAAGUGCAUAUUUAUACCUCCGUUGUACACGUGACUGCAUAUGGACAUGUGCUUGCUAGUUUUAUGUCAGCUUGACACAAGCUAGAGUCUAUUAGAGAUGGGGAAGCCUCAAGUCAGAAAACACCUCCAUAAAAUGGAGUUAUACAUAGAUCCCCUCCCUUGAACAAAUUGUAGCCUUUUUUGAUAAGGCAUCUCAGAGUGGAGUCUAUGGGAUGCUCCCAGAAGUCUAGUCUCCUCCUUUAAAAACUCUCUGUCCAGGAACCCUGAUGGCCAUAAGCGAUCUCUCACAGCCUGAUUAACGGAGUUCCUUAUAAUUCAUUAAAUAGAGCCAGGUCCCACAUAUGGCCUGCUCUGGAACCAAGCCACUGGUGAGGGACCAAUCUACCCUCAGAGGGUGUAUUUCUGCACAGAUGAAGAUGCUAUAGGCUGAUUCCAUUGCCAGAUAGAGACAAUGGAAGAAUCCCAGUACUUGCUACAGGGCUUGAUGGCUUUCAAAGGGAUGCUUCGAUAUGUUUCAAGUCUCUCUGGAACAACCCUGAGGAGGGCCUGAGUUAUCAGAAUAUCAUGAUUUCCCUGCCGCACUCAGCUGAAGUUAUCUGAGUACCAUUCAAGGGCCCUGAAAACAUGAAGAGUAGUAAGACAUGGGCCCUUUUCCCAGGGGCCAUGAUGCAAUGGAGUCAGUCUUAGUGUCUGAAGUCCAGGUCCAAUACUCACAGAUCUGAUCAUUCUGAAUACAUCUUGUGUCCCCCUCGGCCAUCAGUUCUCAAGUCUGAGAAACACAUCCGAUCGCACAUGCCUCUCCCAUUCCAAAAUACUCAUGAGCUCAUGGAGGUCAUGGGCAUGAAAGUAUUUACUCAUAAGCUACAAAAUUCCCACCAGCAAUCUUGACCCGAACUGGAGUGCGGGGUCACAUAUGGUGAUAUGGAAGAGCCAAAUCUUUAAGAAGCAGAGGGACUGAAACUGCGGCAGGCUCUGAG